rnacentral:misc_RNA from 1 species
GAAAUGGAAGGUGAAGCGUGUUUGUUGUCAAUCAAUGAAAGAAUGUGAAGUUGGUUAGGUUUGGCUUUUGACUGAGUAGUUUUAAAGGAAAGCCCCUUAAUAAACAAUCACUUGGUUAGGGGAAGAAUCAUAAAGGUGGGAAGAAGAAAAAGACUUCCCAACCUAAAAAAGCCAGUAUGUGUGAGGCAAGCAAGUCCUAUUAACCACUUCCCUAAAACUUAC